rnacentral:rRNA from 1 species
UACAGAGGUCCCAAGCGUUGUUCGGAUUCACUGGGCGUAAAGGGUGCGUAGGCGGUUGGGUAAGUCUGAUGUGAAAGCUCGGAGCUUAACUCCGAAAUGGCAUCGGAUACUAUCCGACUAGAGGAAUGGAGGGGAGACUGGAAUACUUGGUGUAGCAGUGAAAUGCGUAGAGAUGUGGAGGAACACCAGUGGCGAAGGCGACUCUUUGGCCUGUAACUGACGCUGAGGCGCGAAAGCGUGGGGAGCAAACAGG